rnacentral:rRNA from 1 species
GGAAAAGCUCAAAUUUAAAAUCUGAGGGUCUUACGGCCUUCCGAGUUGUAAUCUAGAGAAGUGCUAUCCGCGCUGGACCGUGUACAAGUCUCCUGGAACGGAGCGUCAUAGAGGGUGAGAAUCCCGUCUUUGACACGGACUACCAGGGCUUUUGUGAUGCGCUCUCAAAGAGUCGAGUUGUUUGGGAAUGCAGCUCUAAAUGGGUGGUAAAUUCCAUCUAAAGCUAAAUAUUGGCGAGAGACCGAUAGCGAACAAGUACCGUGAGGGAAAGAUGAAAAGAACUUUGGAAAGAGAGUUAAACAGUACGUGAAAUUGUUGAAAGGGAAACGCUUGAAGUCAGUCGCGUUGGCCAGGAAUCAACCUUGCUUUUGCUUGGCGUACUUUCUGGUUAACGGGUCAGCAUCAAUUUUGAUCGGUGGAUAAAGAUCAGGGGAAUGUGACAUCUUCGGAUGUGUUAUAGACUCUGGUCGCAUACAUCGGUUGGGAUUGAGGAACUCAGCACGCC